AGCCGCGGUAAUACGUAGGUGGCAAGCGUUGUCCGGAAUUAUUGGGCGUAAAGCGCGCGCAGGCGGGAUAUUAAGUCUGUUUUAAAAGUUCGGGGCUCAACCCCGUGAUGGAAUGGAAACUAAUAUUCUUGAGUGCAGGAGAGGAAAGUGGAAUUCCCAGUGUAGCGGUGAAAUGCGUAGAUAUUGGGAGGAACACCAGUGGCGAAGGCGACUUUCUGGACUGUGUCUGACGCUGAGGCGCGAAAGCCAGGGGAGUGAACGGGAUUAGAUACCCCGGUAAUCCUGGCCGUAAACGAUGGGUACUAGGUGUAGGAGGUAUCGACCCCUUCUGUGCCGGAGUUAACGCAAUAAGUACCCCGCCUGGGGAGUACGGCCGCAAGGUUGAAACUCAAAGGAAUUGACGGGGGCCCGCACAAGCGGUGGAGUAUGUGGUUUAAUUCGACGCAACGCGAAGAACCUUACCAGGACUUGACAUCGAUUGAAAUACCUAGAGAUAGGUACCUUCCCUUCGGGGAACAAGAAGACAGGUGGUGCAUGGCUGUCGUCAGCUCGUGUCGUGAGAUGCUGGGUUAAGUCCCGCAACGAGCGCAACCCUUAUCCUAUGUUGCCAGCGAGUAAAGUCGGGAACUCAUGGGAGACUGCCGCAGACAAUGCGGAGGAAGGCGGGGAUGACGUCAAGUCAUCAUGCCCCUUAUGUCCUGGGCUACACACGUACUACAAUGGGCUUAAAUAGAGGGAAGCGAAGCCGCGAGGUGAAGCGAACCCCAAAAACAAGCUCUCAGUUCGGAUUGCAGGCUGCAACUCGCCUGCAUGAAGUCGGAAUCGCUAGUAAUCGCAGAUCAGCAUGCUGCGGUGAAUACGUUCCCGGGCCUUGUACACACCGCCCG
rnacentral:rRNA from 1 species